UGGACAAAGCCUCCUAGAUGCGCCUCUUCCCAACAACUUGUCAAGGCCAGCUCAAACUUUACCCUAACAUCACAAUCUUGUUUCUCUUUGUCUCUAGCAGACGGAAAUCUAAACCUCGUCGUCACUCCGCAAUCAAAAAUCGAAAGCUCCUCAUUACUCGAAGAGUUGAAGCAUCGUGUUCGCCGAUGCAAUUGUGCUCAGAAAUUCGACGCCUCAACCUUGUUGAUGCCUAAACCUUGCUAUGCUAUCUUAAUAUGUGAUUCUUGGUAGUCCCGUAUCAUGCUUUCACUUUGAGAUUGAUUUAGCUUGGCGGCGGCAUUCUCUGAAAAGGUUUAGGGCUAAUAUUGGGCGUUCCUUGUCGAUUGAGACUUGACAGAGAAAAGGAGAAAAUUCUUGCCUUCAAGCUAUGCGAAUCUGUUACGAUGCUGGUUUGAAAAUUCUUUUUCAAUCUAUGCAAAUAUUUAGUAGACGUUCAAUGUAUGUAUUUUGGGUUUGCUUUAUGCUACAGUGGAAGGAGGAGGACAAUGGAAGGGGCCAAUUGUGAUAGUGGCACUGGUGGGAUGAUGGUGAAAACCGGAAAGGGUCGGUCAUGAGGACGAAGAGAAGGGACGACAGUGGCUUGGAAGAAUUUUCAUAAUUUUUAGAUUUUUCAAUUAGGAUAUUAUUAUUCCACAUAUGCACCCAUAUCAGCAUCAUUUUUAAGUCUAAAUGUUCUCUAACAAACCGCUGAAGCAAUUAAUGGCAUAGGCAUUCUUGCCCCGUUUCCAUAA